rnacentral:rRNA from 1 species
GACGAACGCUGGCGGCGUGCUUAACACAUGCAAGUCGAACGGUAAGGCCCUUCGGGGUACACGAGUGGCGAACGGGUGAGUAACACGUGGGUGAUCUGCCCUGCACUUCGGGAUAAGCCUGGGAAACUGGGUCUAAUACCGGAUAGGACCCUGGGAUGCAUGUCCUGGGGUGGAAAGCUUUUGCGGUGUGGGAUGGGCCCGCGGCCUAUCAGCUUGUUGGUGGGGUGAUGGCCUACCAAGGCGACGACGGGUAGCCGGCCUGAGAGGGUGACCGGCCACACGGGGACUGAGAUACGGCCCAGACUCCUACGGGAGGCAGCAGUGGGGAAUAUUGCACAAUGGGCGCAAGCCUGAUGCAGCGACGCCGCGUGGGGGAUGACGGCCUUCGGGUUGUAAACCUCUUUCAGCACCGACGAAGCGCAAGUGACGGUAGGUGCAGAAGAAGGACCGGCCAACUACGUGCCAGCCGCCGCUGUAA